CAGUCGUACCUUCGGGUAAUCAGCCUUUUGGGUGUGAUUUUGUGGAGCGUGAAGAGUUAAACGCCUUCAUGCUUGCAUAUUCGUGCACUUUGGGUGUACUUGCCCGUAUGGUUGGUUAACAUCAAUUUUGGUGGUCAUAAAAUGACUGGAGGAAUGUAGCUUCGAUCUCGUAUUGAAGUGUUAUAGCCUUCGGUAGAUGUGAUGAUCGAGAUUGAGGAUUGCAACGGAUACCCUUCGGGGCUACCUGUCUGAUCUCUGAUCGUUGCUCUGGUGCCGAAAGCUUGCUUACGGUUAUCAAAGUCGAUGGUCAAUAGGUUAGAACGGGUUAAA
rnacentral:rRNA from 1 species